GGUGUUGUUGUCACUGGCUCUCUUUCUCUCUCUUUCCCUCCGGCUCUGUUCCUGUGCUACUGCGAGUGUAACUACCGCCCCUCCCCCCUCUUCCCAGCGCAAAGCACAAGGCUUGUGUGUGGAGUGACGCAGGAAAAAAGUGCGAGAGAGAGGGUGAGAGGAAGAAAAAAACAAACACGGUUCGCGUCGUUCACGUCAAAGACACGGAUCUAAGAGCAAUUUUGUUCGCGACCAACACAUCACUAGUGGCCAGUCUAUCAGCAGAGAGCAUGUGAACGCUGGCGACUGUGUGAACAACUCGCAAUCAAUAUUUCUAGACCAAAUAAUGGAAAAACAAGUCCUUUGAAGAGCGGAGAUACAACCAGUUUUUUUUAUUUCAUUUCACUCUGGCAAGGAUGACAUGCCAUCUCCAGGACCUCACUGUUUUAACACUGUGGUGGAGUCGAGCAAGGGAUGGAUCGAGCAGUGGGUUCGGGGGACGGUACCUGCACAGCUGAGGUCCAUCACACAAACCACGCCUUCCCUAUUUCAGUAGCUGCUAGGUCCCAGAAGAGAUGUCUGAGGUUUGGAGAGGACAGCACUGAGCGGGAGCGCGCUGGAAAAUAUACAGCCUAAAACAAACUACCAUGUCUUAUGGUCCUUGUGUCACAAACACAUUUAACAGGUCUCACUCAGGUUCAUCCCCUCAGUUGGCAGCAGAGCAGUAAAUUAAAGUUAAUCCAGGCACACCUGGUUCAUUUUUUAUCUUCAUGCCUGUGUGUAAUCAGAUGUGAAAAAAAAUAUUGACAGCAGUGAGCAUGCUCACGUGGCAGCUGAUUUGUGGCAUGAGUGAAGACAGUAAAGUUACCAUAAGGCCACAAAGAAAGUAUGAUUGAAAUGAACCUUAAUUUUCUUUAAAUGAAAUAAUAUUUUAUUCUGUAUAAGAUGGUCUGUUACAUAACAAUCAUCGUUUGUGUGACACUUAUAUCAAAGGCUGUUUUUAUCCUUGUCUUUUAUAUCUGG
ensembl:lncRNA